rnacentral:rRNA from 1 species
AAGAAACCAACAGGGAUUACCUCAGUAACGGCGAGUGAAGCGGUAACAGCUCAAAUUUGAAAUCUGGCUCUUUUAGGGUCCGAGUUGUAAUUUGUAGAAGAUGCUUCGAGUGUAGCUCCGGUCUAAGUUCCUUGGAACAGGACGUCAUAGAGGGUGAGAAUCCCGUAUGUGACUGGCGGCUUUCGCUCAUGUGAAGCUCUUUCGACGAGUCGAGUUGUUUGGGAAUGCAGCUCUAAAUGGGAGGUAUAUUUCUUCUAAAGCUAAAUAUUGGCCAGAGACCGAUAGCGCACAAGUAGAGUGAUCGAAAGAUGAAAAGCACUUUGGAAAGAGAGUUAAACAGUACGUGAAAUUGUUGAAAGGGAAGCGCUUGCAACCAGACUUGCAUGCCGUCGAUCAUCGUGGGUUCUCCCGCGUGCACUCGGCGGCGUUCAGGCCAGCAUCGGUUUUGGUGGUUGGAUAAAGGCCUUGGGAAUGUGGCUCCUUUCGGGGAGUGUUAUAGCCCUCGGUGCAAUGCAGCCUACCGGGACCGAGGACCGCGCUUCGGCUAGGAUGCUGGCGUAAUGGUUGUAAGCGACCCGUCUUGAAACACGGACCAAGGAGUCUAACAUCUAUGCGAGUGUUUGGGUGUCAAACCCAUACGCGGAAUUAACGUGAACGGAGGUACGAACCCUUUAGGGCGCAGUAUCGACCGGUCCUGAUGUCUUCGGAUGGAUCUGAGUAAGAGCAUAGCUGUUGGGACCCGAAAGAUGGUGAACUAUGCCUAAAUAGGGUGAAGCCAGAGGAAACUCUGGUGGAGGCUCGCAGCGGUUCUGACGUGCAAAUCGAUCGUCAAAUUUGGGUAUAGGGGCGAAAGACUAAUCGAACCAUCUAGUAGCUGGUUCUGC